UACGUAGGGUGCAAGCGUUGUCCGGAAUUAUUGGGCGUAAAGGGCUCGUAGGCGGUUUGUUGCGUCGGAAGUGAAACUCAGGGCUUAACCCUGAGCCUGCUUCCGAUACGGGCAGACUAGAGGUAUGGCAGGGGAGAACGGAAUUCCUGGUGUAGCGGUGAAAUGCGCAGAUAUCAGGAGGAACACCGGUGGCGAAGGCGGUUCUCUGGGCCUUACCUGACGCUGAGGAGCGAAAGCAUGGGAGCAAACAGG
rnacentral:rRNA from 1 species